AUUGAACGCUGGCGGCAUGCCUUACACAUGCAAGUCGAACGGCAGCACGGGUGCUUGCACCUGGUGGCGAGUGGCGAACGGGUGAGUAAUACAUCGGAACGUACCUUAUCGUGGGGGAUAACGCAGCGAAAGCUGUGCUAAUACCGCAUACGCCCUGAGGGGGAAAGCGGGGGAUCGCAAGACCUCGCGCGAUUAGAGCGGCCGAUGCCUGAUUAGCUAGUUGGUGGGGUAAAAGCCCACCAAGGCGACGAUCAGUAGCUGGUCUGAGAGGACGAUCAGCCCCACUGGGACUGAGACACGGCCCAGACUCCUACGGGAGGCAGCAGUGGGGAAUUUUGGACAAUGGGGGCAACCCUGAUCCAGCAAUGCCGCGUGAGUGAAGAAGGCCUUCGGGUUGUAAAGCUCCUUUGUCAGGGAAGAAACACCGGCUCUAACACAGUCCGGGAAUGACGGUACCUGAAGAAUAAGCACCGGCUAACUACGUGCCAGCCGCCGCCGUAA
rnacentral:rRNA from 1 species